CGCCUAGCCGCCUAGCGCCCGCCUAGCCACCCGCCUAGGCCGAUUUUCAUUCUGAUUCCAAGUAGGUAAAUAUGUCAUCCAUUUUUAGUCAUGGAAAUUCAUCUAUUCUGCAGGUUCUUGACCGCGGUGAGAAGAUUGAGCUGUUGGUGGACAAAACUGAUAAUCUUCGCUCCCAGGCCCAAGAUUUCAGGACACAGGGAACAAAAAUGAAAAGGAAGAUGUGGUUUCAAAAUAUGAAUAUAAAAUUGAUUGUUGUGGAGAUCAUCAUUCUCAUAGACUUUGUGAUAUUUUUGUCAAUCUGCCAUGGUUUUAAGUGUACCUAAGUUUGCAUCCAUGGACGCUUUCGUGCUGUCAUGCGGCAUUGGUAAAUUGCUCUAUCUCUGAGUUGCUUACCUUGUUAGGUUAUGCCCGUCCUGUUUUGCUAGCCAUUUUAGGAUGGGGUGGGGGAAGGUUUUGUAUGUUUUUUUUCGCACUGGUUGUUGUGUAGUUUAUAUAUUUGUCCUUGUCUUGUCUAGGGUAGAUAUAAUCAAUCACUAUCAUAUAUGUGCUCCAUGUAAUGUAAUGGAUCCUUAAUUAGCUUAAGAUGUAAUGGAGGAAUGCUUGGAUGAUUGUAAAUCAGCAUGCCCUUUCGGAAUGCUAUUAAAAUCUAUUCCC